rnacentral:tRNA from 1 species
GCAGAUAGUAAACUCUCAAUUAAAAACUUAGUUAAAUUAUAAUAUAAAUAUGUCAUAU